rnacentral:rRNA from 1 species
AAAUGACUCUCGGCAACGGAUAUCUCGGCUCUCGCAUCGAUGAAGAACGUAGCGAAAUGCGAUACUUGGUGUGAAUUGCAGAAUCCCGUGAACCAUCGAGUCUUUGAACGCAAGUUGCGCCUGAAGCCAUCAGGUUGAGGGCACGUCUGCCUGGGUGUC